rnacentral:lncRNA from 1 species
GGGGGGUGAGAAUAGAAAAUGAGAUGAUUGGAUUGGCUGGGUCCCAAGUACAGCAAACCAUCGUUGUCUUGACUUUUAAAUUACCAAUUUAUUUAUUUUUGGUAUAAUUCUAAUUUAAAAUUACUUACUUAACUUCUCAAAUAUGUUUUCUCUUAUUCUUCUUUUUAUGUGUUUAAUAAAAAAUUUCAUAGGAGUAUGAUUUCAAUCAU